CAAGACUGAGAUUAUUUGCAAUACUAGUCAAGCCAAUUUAUUUAUGAAGCAAAGAACAAUCAGAGUUGAACCGCAUGCUGACGUUUCUGUGGUUAGUAAAUUCCCUUCUGUGAGUCAUCAUCACGCCACAUCGGAAGAUUAAAAAAACGCCCCCUUGCCAAUGUCUCAAGAACACAGCCCAUGCUGAACCCUUAACCGUAUACAUAAUCCAUCCAGAAAUCAAAGAGACAGGAGAAUAACAUGCAUUUAUAUCUAAUAGGGUUUAUUGUCUUGAUCCUGUUAAAAUAUAUAUAUAUGUGAUUGGGUAUAUUGAGUUUGAAAUAUAUUGUAGAAUUUUUGUAUAACAUACUGUAUACUGUAUAUAUCGAAGUCUAUAGUCGUUAAUUAAAUGCAAUAUUCGAGAGAAAGAGAGAGAGUGAGAGAAAGAGAGGAGUAUCGAGUACAAAAUUAAAUUCGAUGGUAAGAUUCAUUCCUAUACACGUGACUCCAAAGUGCACACUCUGGUACAGCAUGAAGAGCUUCCACAGCUUCCACAUCAUUAUAUAUGCCUCCCAUGUUGAUCAGCAAUCACAGUUCUACACUGGAUUUAUAGUAUUGUUAUCAUUUGAACAUUGUAACUCACUCCACUUAAUAUUAAUAAUAAUAAUAAUAAUAAUAAUAAUAAUAAUAAUAAUAAUAAUAAUAAUACUUUGUCUAGUAUAUAAUAAUAUAAUAUUCAUAUUUUUAUAGAUUUAUACUAUUCAUGCUAUUCAGAUUUAUACAUGAUCCCGUUUCUGUGUUCCUGGACCAAAAUCACUCCAAAGUGCACACUCUGGUACAGCAUUAAGAGUCUGCCAGCUUCCGCAGCCAAUAGAACUCAACCUUGUCACGUGUCUAAACGUCUAGCAUCGGUAUAACCUCUGGUCUUCCAUCUGCUCCACUUCCGCUUUGUGGUUCGUUUGAAGAACACGCUCUCUUGAACCGCUCGAACAAACUGUAUUAUUAGAAAGUGAAAAAAUGGCAUCAUCAUAAAUAACCAUCAUGUAAAUAUUUCAACCAUAUCAAAAUGUAUAAUUCUAAGGAAAAAAAUUAUAUGAAAAAGAAUAAUUUAUUCAAGAAUUGUGUGGUGCACAAUAAUCUCAAGUUACCAUUUAUCCAUAAGCCAUUGCUUGGCAAAGUCCUACUAUCAACAGAAUCUGCUUCAACAGUAAAUCAAAAGUAACCAGUCAGACCACAUCAGCCUAUUGAUGAUCUUUCUAUCGUUCGCUAUGUGCAUACAUUUCACUACAAUAUGUAGUCCUUGGCUCUAUCGGGUGUUUAAUCCAUAUUCAAUUCAGUAAUCAACUGCUAAAGAUUCGUCCAUGCACAAGAGCACAAUAAUAUUGUUCAACCCCUCAUAAUAUGGGUUUCAAACAGCCACACUGAACAUCCAGAAGAAUAUAUGUAGGCUUACAAUCACACACAUUAGAUUCACAGUAAAGAGAGACAAAAUGUUAGUACUUCUGCUCAAUUUGAAUUUCCCUUCAGUACCACGUCUGGGUCUGCGGUAUGUUAGUGGGAUUUCUCCGUCCAAAUUUUCUACGUCCAAACAGCGAACAGACGGAGCGGUUGAGAACAAUGGCGUUAAAGUCAGCUCUCUUAGACGGACAUCUUCACGCACAGUGUUUGGUUUGCUUACAGCCUGCGCGCAACGCUAGUGAUUGGUUUUGGCAGAUCCUGAGUGGCACUGGGCAGAUCCAAUAGUUUUAAACUUCAACAGACCCGCCUUCAAGUGAGUUAACAUUUGUCAAUUGAGUAGGUCCAGACUCUCUGCACAAAUGAAAUGUAGUGCGAGAGUCUACCAGGCUAACAAAACGUGGCGAUCUAAGUGAAAAUAUUGUUUAGCCAGCAGUGUAUUACUGAAUUGCACAUUGAUUGAUUGGGUGAGGAAGGUUCAUAAUUACUGGCUGAGCCUGCGACAAUGAGGACAUUUGACUGUAAUCAAAAAUGUUGUUUUUAAUACCUGUUUUCUUUCUUUCUGCAGCAGACCAACGCAAUGACCACCGCAAUGACCACCACAAUGACCCCAACAGUCCCGACCACAGUCCCUGCAAUGCCCCCUGGAGUCCAGACUACAGCCAGAGGCAUUCGACGCGCCUUGGUUUCAGCAAAGUCAUUGACGAUGUGCGUGUGCUCGUUCACUCUCAAUUGACAAGAUGAUGAAUGGCCAUAUCGUCUCUGAGAGAGUAAAUGAGCAGCCUACAGCUACGGUUGGCUACGGUUGACGUUAGAUGAUUUUCAACGAGCAGAUAUGGUACCCAUCAUGCUUUUGGGUACCAUAUCAUGAAUUUAUUUGAUUAAAUACGAAAAGCAAGAACAUAGAUUAACAAAAAAGUCACUAAUGUAUUCCUUUUCAAGAUUGUUUGCGGGAUUUCAUCUCAGUGAUUUUUUAUAUUUUUUGACUUUGAGUACCACCAUGAUCAAAUAGUAUAUCUAAAAUCACUGGUAAUCCUAAAUGUCGACUUCAGUUACCGGAGGACACGCAGACUGAAGUUGGCUACAUGCCCUGACAUGCCCUGAAGGUGAG
ensembl:lncRNA